GACGAACGCUGGCGGCGUGCUUAACACAUGCAAGUCGAGCGGUAAGGCCCCUUUUGGGGGGUACACGAGCGGCGAACGGGUGAGUAACACGUGGGUGACCUGCCUUCAGCUCUGGGAUAAGCCUGGGAAACUGGGUCUAAUACCGGAUAUGACCUUUGCCUGCAUGGGUGGGGGUGGAAAGAUUUGUUUUGGCUGGGGACGGGCCUGCGGUCUAUCAGCUUGUUGGUGGGGUGAUGGCCUACCAAGGCGACGACGGGUAGCCGGCCUGAGAGGGCGACCGGCCACACUGGGACUGAGACACGGCCCAGACUCCUACGGGAGGCAGCAGUGGGGAAUAUUGCGCAAUGGGCGGAAGCCUGACGCAGCGACGCCGCGUGGGGAUGACGGCCU
rnacentral:rRNA from 1 species